rnacentral:lncRNA from 1 species
CCAGUCCAGGCUGCCUCAAGAGUAUCUGACAAACUCUCCAUGUUCGGGAAAUGCCCAUCGGAUAGUGCUCUACGCCCCUGUAAUAUGGAUUCUGCAGGAUGUGUUCCGCAGAAACUUUUUGUUGCAACAGGAAGACCAGGUUGUUUUUCUAUUGCAAAAUUAACAUCAAAACCAACCACCGAUUCUGCAGGAUGUGUUCCACAGAAACUUUUUGUUGCAACAGGAAGACCAGGUUGUUUUUCUAUUGCAAAAUUAACAUCAAAACCAACCACCGAUUCUUGAUGAACAGAAUCCACAUGACUGCUUUGGCUAACACGUUUUUCUUCAUCCGUAUUUCCACCAGCCUCGAAAUUUGCAGAUUCAGAGUUAUUA